rnacentral:rRNA from 1 species
UACGGGGGGGGCAAGCGUUGUUCGGAAUUACUGGGCGUAAAGGGUCUGUAGGUGGCUUGCUAAGUCAGACGUGAAAUCCCUCGGCUUAACCGGGGAACUGCGUCUGAUACUGGCGAGCUUGAGUGCAGGAGAGGAACGCGGAAUUCCAGGUGUAGCGGUGAAAUGCGUAGAUAUCUGGAGGAACACCGGUGGCGAAGGCGGCGUUCUGGACAGUGACUGACGCUGAGACGCGAAAGCGUGGGUAGCAAACAGG